AGGCUGGUAAGUUAAAUAAACUAUGGGGUUCAUGUCCCCACAAUAUGGUGUUGCCAUCCAGCCAA
rnacentral:tRNA from 1 species